rnacentral:rRNA from 1 species
AACGUAGGAGACAAACGUUAUCCGGAGUUACUGGGCGUAAAGGGCGUGUAGGUGGUUUCGUAAGUCUGGCGUGAAAUAUCUCGGCUUAACCGAGGCAGGUCGUCGGAUACUGCGGAACUGGAGGACGGUAGAGGCGUGUGGAAUUCCGGGUGUAGUGGUGAAAUGCGUAGAGAUCCGGAAGAACACCGGUGGCGAAGGCGGCCUGCUGGGCAGUGGCUGACACUGAGGCGCGACAGCGUGGGGAGCAAACAGG